rnacentral:rRNA from 1 species
UACAGAGGGUGCGAGUGUUAAUCGGAUUUACUGGGCGUAAAGGGCGCGUAGGCGGUGAUGUGAGUGUGAUGUGAAAAUCCCCGGGCUUAACCUGGGAACUGCGUUUGUGACUGCGAGACUUGAGUGCGGCAGAGGGGGGUGGAAUUCCACGUGUAGCAGUGAAAUGCGUAGAGAUGUGGAGGAACACCGAUGGCGAAGGCAGCCCCCUGGGUCGACACCGACGCUCAUGCACGAAAGCGUGGGGAGCAAACAGGAUUAGAUACCCCAGUAGU